AACGAGGUAGUUUAUAAAAAAUAAUUCUUUUGCAUAGAAUAGAUAAGGCCUUAGAGCCUUCAUUGUUA
rnacentral:tRNA from 1 species